AACAAUGGGCUAAAAGAUAGCAAUGACUGUGAGGAUGGUGCAGGACCUGGCAGUAUUUUGUUCUGUUGUCCACAGGGUCACUAUGAGUCAGAACUGACUGGAUGGUACCUAAUAUCAACACUUUGUCUAAUUAACUGUGGAGGAAAUCUCUCCCCAUUUCUCUUUUUGAGAAUUUGAAGGGUACAUGAAGCAUGGAAUUACCUGCAGUAUCGGAUUUGGCCCCUAGAGGGAGAUGCUACACAAAUUGAACUUUGUGUAAAGGGGAACCAGGAGCAGAAAGCAACCAGGCCCUUUGAAGAAGAGCUUUUUGCUUUAAGUGCUAGGUAAACUCACCCACCACUCUGUUAGAGUGUCCGUGUGGCUGAGUUGUUUCCAGAAAAAACCUCCGGAAAAGAGCCUCCUGUUUCCCCACAGUUCAGACAUGAAACUCACCCUCAUCUCUGUGCUUGUGAUGAUCUUCACACUCAGAGGAACAAGAGCCCAGAGAGUGACUCAGCCUGAGGACCACAUCUUUGUGUUUGAAGGGGCCCCAGUGAAAAUAAAGUGCAACUACUCAUAUUCUGGGAGUCCUGUUCUCUCCUGGUAUGUCCAGUAUCCCAAGAAAGGACUCCAGUUACUUCUGGGGCACAUUUCAGGAGACAGCAUCAAAGGUUUCUCGGCUGACCUUGACAAGGGUAAGAUGACCUUCCAUCUGAAGAAACCAUCAGCUCAAGAGGAAGACUCAGCCAUGUAUUACUGUGCUGUGAGUGACACAGUGACUGGUGUUGCAUGGGAAACAGAGCACAAACCCUCUAGGGCUUACAAAAAUUGUGUUUUGUAAGGUGUUUAUCUGGCCACAGUGAGGCAGUUCUUCUCUAUAGACUGACACUGAGUUUACCUCUUAGAUACAGUAUUUUCAGUUGUUAGCUAUCUAUUAACUUGAAAAUGUUGUGGAAGAAAAUUCUU